UACGAAGGGUGCAAGCGUUACUCGGAAUUACUGGGCGUAAAGGGUGCGUAGGCGGUUCUUUAAGUCUGGUGUGAAAGGUUCAGGGCUCAACCCGAACAGUGCACUGGAUACUGGAGAGCUUGAGUUAGGGAGAGGAGAGUGGAAUUCCUGGUGUAGCGGUGAAAUGCGUAGAUAUCAGGAGGAACACCGAUGGCGAAGGCAGCUCUCUGGCGUAUAACUGACGCUGAGGUGCGAAAGCGUGGGGAGCAAACGGG
rnacentral:rRNA from 1 species